GGACCCAUAGCUCAGUUGGUUAGAGCUACCGGCUCAUAACCGGUCGGUCGCAGGUUCGAGUCCUGCUGGGUCCACCA
rnacentral:tRNA from 1 species